rnacentral:rRNA from 1 species
AUUGAACGCUGGCGGCAGGCUUAACACAUGCAAGUCGAGCGGAGAUGAGGUGCUUGCACCUUAUCUUAGCGGCGGACGGGUGAGUAAUGCUUAGGAAUCUACCUAUUAGUGGGGGACAACAUUCCGAAAGGAAUGCUAAUACCGCAUACUUCCUACGGGAGAAAGCAGGGGAUCUUCGGACCUUGCGCUAAUAGAUGAGCCUAAGUCGGAUUAGCUAGUUGGUGGGGUAAAGGCCUACCAAGGCGACGAUCUGUAGCGGGUCUGAGAGGAUGAUCCGCCACACUGGGACUGAGACACGGCCCAGACUCCUACGGGAGGCAGCAGUGGGGAAUAUUGGACAAUGGGGGGAACCCUGAUCCAGCCAUGCCGCGUGUGUGAAGAAGGCCUUAUGGUUGUAAAGCACUUUAAGCGAGGAGGAGGCUACUGAGACUAAUACUCUUGGAUAGUGGACGUUACUCGCAGAAUAAGCACCGGCUAACUCUGUGCCAGCCGCCGCAGUAAGAC